rnacentral:rRNA from 1 species
UACGGGGGGGGGCAAGCGUUGUUCGGAAUUACUGGGCGUAAAGGCUCGUAGGCGGCCAACUAAGUCAGACGUGAAAUCCCUCGGCUUAACCGGGGAACUGCGUCUGAUACUGGAUGGCUUGAGUUUGGGAGAGGGAUGCGGAAUUCCAGGUGUAGCGGUGAAAUUCGUAGAUAUCGGGAGGAACACCGGUGGCGAAGGCGGCGACCUGGGUAGAUACUGACGCUGAGGUGCGAAAGCGUGGGGAGCAAACAGG